AGGAAGAGGAGGAGGAGGAGGAGGAGGGGGUGGUGGUGAUCAGGGUGGAGGAGGGAGAGGAGGAGGGGGUGGGGGGCGUGACCCUUGCCUCUCUCCUCUUCUCCCCCUCCUCCCCCUGGGGACCCUGCACCCGCUCCUGCAUUACGAGAAGAACCAGGAAGUGCAAGUUUGAGAGCUUAUGUGGGCGUGAGAUAAGAGUGGAAGAAGCUUACUGCUAUGCUCUCGGCUCAAGCUGCAGAAGAAAGGUUCUCAGCCAUUUAGAAGAGCAAGGAUACGUAAUAAUAGAAGAUAAUGAAGACGAGGUGUUGCAGCAAGAAGAGGAGAGGAGGAAGAAGGAGGA